ACCAUUAAGUUUGGGACAACAUUCCGAAAGGGGUGCUAAUACCGGAUAAUAUACACAUUCGCAUGUUUGUGUAGGAAAGGCGGUUUCGGCUGUCGCUUUUUGAUGAUCUCGCGUAUCAUUAGAUAGUUGGUGAGGUAACGGCUCACCAAGUCUACGAUGAUUAGCCGGCCUGAGAGGGUGGCCGGCCACAUAGGGACUGAGACACGGCCCUAACUCCUACGGGAGGCAGCAGUGGGGAAUUUUGCGCAAUGACCGAAAGGUUGACGCAGCGACGCCGCGUGUAUGACGAAGGUUUUCGGAUCGUAAAGUACUUUCAGCAGGGAAGAAAUGGUUCAAUAGUAACUGAUUGAGUUUUGACGGUACCUGCAGAAGCAGCCCCGGCUAACUCCGUGCCAGCAGCCGCGGUAAUACGGAGGGGGCAAGCGUUGUUCGGAGUCACUGGGCGUAAAGCGCACGUAGGUGGAUUAUCAAGUCAGGAGUUAAAGGCAACGGCUCAACCGUUGUAAGGCUUUUGAAACUGGUAGUCUAGAGUGUUGGAGAGGAAUGCGGAAUUUCCGGUGUAGCGGUGAAAUGCGUAGAUAUCGGAAGGAACACCAGUUGCGAAGGCGGCAUUCUGGCCAAUAACUGACACUGAGGUGCGAGAGCAUGGGUAGCAAACAGGAUUAGAUACCCUGGUAGUCCAUGCUGUAAACGAUGGAUGCUAGGUGUUGGGGUUUAUACGCCUCAGUGCCGAAGCUAACGCAUUAAGCAUCCCGCCUGGGGAGUACGGCCGCAAGGCUGAAACUCAAAGGAAUUGACGGGGGCCCGCACAAGCGGUGGAGCACGUGGUUUAAUUCGAUGCUAACCGUAGAACCUUACCUGGGCUUGACAUCCGUAGUCGUUUCUAGAGAUAGAAAUUUGCUCAUCUUUGAUGAGAGCUAUGAGACAGGUGCUGCAUGGCUGUCGUCAGCUCGUGCCGUGAGGUGUUGGGUUAAGUCCCGCAACGAGCGCAACCCCUAUUUUUAGUUGCCAUCAGGUAAUGCUGGGCACUCUAAAGAGACAGCCGUCGAUAAGGCGGAGGAAGGUGGGGACGACGUCAAGUCAUCAUGGCCCUUAUGUCCAGGGCUACACACGUGCUACAAUGGUUCAUACAGAGGGCAGCUAACUCGUGAGAG
rnacentral:rRNA from 1 species